rnacentral:rRNA from 1 species
CUUGGAGGAAUGUAUAGCAAUUGCUAUUUGCAUUAAAAGUUUUAGUGUAAAAUCGACUUUGUCGAAUAAAAUUCUGGGUAGAAUUAUGAUAAUGACAUUACCUACUCAUAAGUCUUGACCAAAUUACGUGCCAGCAGUCGCGGUAAUACGUAGAAGACAAGUGUUAUUCAUCUUUAAUAGGUUUAAAGGGUACUUAGACGGUAAAUAAAGCCUCCAAAAGGUACUAGUUUGCUAGAGUUUUAUAUGAAGGGGUUUUAAAGUACUACUGGUGUAGAGAUGAAAUUCAGUUAUACCUUACAUGGCACAGGUUAAGGCGAAAGCAUCUUCUUAUGUAAAAACUGACGUUGAAGGACGAAGGCUUUGUGUCUCGAACAGGAUUAGAUACCCUAGUAGUCUAAGCAGAAAAUGAUGAAUGUCAUAGAUUAGAUUUAAUUUGAUCUGUAAAUGAAAGUGUAAGCAUUCCACCUCAAGAGUAAUUUGGCAACAUUGGAACUGAAAUCAUUAGACCGUUUCUGAAACCAGUAGUGAAGUAUGUUGUUUAAUUUGAUAAUCCGCAAAAAACCUUACCACAAUUUGAAUAGAUAUAUUUUAUCAUACAAGCGUUGCACGGCUGUCUUCAGUUAAUGUCGUGAGACUUUGGUUAGUUCCAUUAAAUUAACGUAAACCCUUACUUUAUUUUUAUAUAAAGUAGUUCACCGCUAUAUUGGAUGUGAUAAUAGGGAUCAAGACAAGUCAUCAUGACCUAAAUAUUGUGGGCU